rnacentral:tRNA from 1 species
GCCCCGGUAGCUCAGUUGGAUAGAGCAAUUGACUUCUAAUCAAUAGGUCGCAAGUUCGAAUCUUGCCCGGGGUG